GGGCCUGUAGCUCAGCGGUUAGAGCAGUCGACUCAUAAUCGAUUGGCCGCUGGUUCAAGUCCAGCCAGGCCCACCA
rnacentral:tRNA from 1 species